AUAUAUAUAUAUAAUUAAGCUCCUAUGCUUUUAAAAGUACAAAGUUAUUUGUGCUUGUAAAUUUUUAGCCAUUGGAUUAAGAAAUAUGCGAUUAAAAUGAUAUGGGUCCCCUAGGGUUGAGUGGAUAAUUGAUUGAAUAGUAUAAUCUAACGGGUGAAAAUGAUCAAAAUGUAGAUCUAACGGCACAAAAUUUAAAAAUGCCUUUUUGAGAAAUCUA
rnacentral:lncRNA from 1 species